rnacentral:rRNA from 1 species
AUACGGAGGGUGCAAGCGUUAUUCGGAAUCACUGGGCGUAAAGGGUGCGUAGGCGGUUUGAUAAGUCUGAUGUGAAAUCCUAUGGCUCAACCAUAGAACUGCAUUGGAAACUGUCAGAUUAGAAUACUGAAGGGGCAGAUGGAAUUAGUGGUGUAGGGGUAAAAUCCGUAGAUAUCACUAGGAAUACCGAAAGCGAAAGCGAUCUGCUGGGAAGUUAUUGACGCUGAGGCACGAAAGCGUGGGGAGCAAACGGGAUUAGAAACCCCUGUAGUCC